rnacentral:rRNA from 1 species
ACCUGCCCCCAUCUCUGGGAUAACCGUUGGAAACGGCGGCUAAUACCGGAUACGACCACCUUCCGCAUGGUUGGUGGUGGAAAGUUUUUGCGGUUGGGGAGGGGCCCGCGGCCUAUCAGCUUGUUGGUGCGGUAGUGGCGCACCAAGGCUUUGACGGGUAGCCGGCCUGAGAGGGCGGUCGGUCACAUUGGGACUGAGAUACGGCCCAGACUCCUACGGGAGGCAGCAGUGGGGAAUUUUGCACAAUGGGCGCAAGCCUGAUGCAGCGACGCCGCGUGAGGGAUGACGGCUUUCGGGUUGUAAACCUCUUUUAUCCACCACGAAGGCCAGGUAUUCGCCUGGUUGACGGUAGUGGUUGAAUAAGCGCCGGCUAACUACGUGCCAGCAGCCGCGGUAAGACGUAGGGCGCGAGCGUUGUCCGGAUUUAUUGGGCGUAAAGGGCUCGUAGGCGGUUGAUUGCGUCCGCCGUGAAAGGCCUCGGCUUAACCGGGGUUUUGCGGUGGAUACGGGUCGACUUGAGGCAAUUAGGGGAGAUCGGAAUUCUACGUGUAGCGGUGAAAUGCGCAGAUAUGUGGAGGAACACCGGUGGCGAAGGCGGAUCUCUGGGAUUGUUCUGACGCUGAGGAGCGAAAGCGUGGGGAGCGAACAGGAUUAGAUACCCUGGUAGUCCAUGCUGUAAACGGUGGGCGCUAGGUGUGGGGUCACGUUGGUUGAUUCUGUGCCGUAGCUAACGCAUUAAGCGCCCCGCCUGGGGAGUACGGCCGCAAGGCUAAAACUCAAAGGAAUUGACGGGGGCCCGCACAAGCGGCGGAGCAUGCGGAUUAAUUCGAUGCAACGCGAAGAACCUUACCUAGGUUUGACAUCACCCGGAAACCUCUAGAGAUAGAGGCCUCUUCGGACUGGGUGACAGGUGGUGCAUGGCUGUCGUCAGCUCGUGUCGUGAGAUGUUGGGUUAAGUCCCGCAACGAGCGCAACCCUUAUCCCGUGUUGCCAGCAUUCAGUUGGGGACUCACGGGAGACUGCCGGGGUUAACUCGGAGGAAGGUGGGGAUGAGGUCAAGUCAUCAUGCCCCUUAUGUCUAGGGCUUCACGCAUGCUACAUUGGCCGGUACAGCGGGUUGCGAUACCGUGAGGUGGAGCGAAUCCCUGUAAAGCCGGUCUUGGUUCGGAUUCGAGUCUGCAACUCGACUCGAUGAAGGUGGAGUCGCUAGUAAUCGCAGAUCAGCAACGCUGCG